rnacentral:lncRNA from 1 species
AAGUACAUAUUGUUUAUUAGAUUGCUUCCCUUCUAAAUAUAUCGAUCAAUUUCACCCCACUGCCUUCCUUCUAAACAUAUCUAACAUCAUAAAAUAAGUAAGAAACAUUAUUGAACAAAAAUGAUCAGUUCUGCCAGCCGCAAAGCAUGAUGUACACCCUAAUUUAUUAUUAAUCAUCGUUGAUAGUUUAGGAUAUCUCAUUUAACAAUUAACAAAGGAAGGGAAGCAUCACAAUAAGGAACAAGAGGCCCACAAUAUCAAGUCCAAACCCUGUAUUUCUCCUUCCCCAGUCAAUUGAUCCUAUAUCAAUGUUUGUUGCAUAAUCGUCCCCUUCAAAACAACAUCAAAUAAUUAAAAUUGAUCAUAAUCAUUAAUUCUUAACGUUUCAUAUUAAUCACUAAACAUAUACUAUAUUACAUAGAACAAAAUUUUCAAAAGCCAAUUAUGUAAAGAGCCAAUUAAAUUUUCAUCAAUAAAGGUAACAUAAAGAUUGUUUUAUUAUUAUGAAAAAAAAUAAGGAAAAUAAUUUUUUUUUUUAAAAACCAAAAGAUAUAAAAAAGUUCUUUUAACCUUUUUUUUUCUCUAUGAAUACUAUAAAAAUAGUUUAUGAUUGAAAAAUAUUAAAAAAUAACUUAUGAUUUGGGAAGACAUCCAAACCUAAUCUUACAUUCUUAUUUCCAUCACCACCAACUCUGCCGUCUUCUCCUCUGCCUCCAC